rnacentral:rRNA from 1 species
UUCCGGCCAUAACACGUUGAAACACCGGUUUCCAUACGGCCACUGAAGUUAAGCAACAUCGAGCCUAGUCAGUACCUAGAUGGGUAACGAUUUGGGAAUACCAGCUGUUGUAAG